GGCCCGGUGGCAGAGUGGUGAUGCAGAGGACUGCAAAUCCUUGUACGUCGGUUCGAUUCCGGCCCGGGCCUCCA
rnacentral:tRNA from 8 species